CACUGCAGUCUACGCAUGCUACCCUGAACAAACCCGAUCCAUCUGAUCUCGGAAGCUAAGCAAGGUCGGGCCUGGUUAGUAUUUGAAUGGGAGACUACCUAGGAAGACCAGGUGCUGCAGGUG
rnacentral:rRNA from 1 species